rnacentral:lncRNA from 10 species
UCUGUUUUUCCUGAAGGUAGAGAGAGCCACCCAUACCUAAAAGGACAGUGCUAGAGAUAAAAUAGUCCACUUACAUAUUUUCCUCACUACAAGGAUUGCCAGGGAGAUAUGCAGGAGAUACAUGCACGGAAAGGAGCAUGCAGAAGAUAUAUUAAAUGAAAAGAAUUUUGAGGGACAAAUCUGUGGUAAUAGGGCUGGAUUUUAAGAACUGAAUAAAUGACGAUACUACUCAUAAGAAGGAACAAACUACUGACACAAUGUGAAUGAGUCUGGCAGAUAUGUUGAGUGACAGAUGAAAGAUACAAAAGAUUAUACGUAUAAUAUGAUUCCAUUUAUCUGAUGUUCGAGGCAGGAUAAGCUAAUCUAUGGUGAUAGAAAUUAGGACAGUGGAGGCCUGGGGUGGUGUUGACUGGAAAGGGGUAUCCAGGAACUUUCAGUGGUGAUGGCAACGUUCUGUGUCUUGAUUUGGAUGUAGGUAUACAUUUGUCAAAACUUGUGAAACUGUACGCUUAAUAGCUAUGCAUUUCUUUUCUUUUCUUUUCUUUUCUUUGCGACAGGGUCUCACUCUGUUACCCAGGCUGGAGUGGUGCAAUGGCACAAUCUCAGCUCACUGCAACCCCUGCCACUGCAACCCUUGCCUCCAGGUUCAAGUGCUUCUCUUGCCUCAGCCUUCCAAGUAGCUGGGAUUACAGGCACCUGCCACCACACCUGGCUGAUUUUUGUAUUUUUAACAGAGACGGGGUUUCACCAUGUUGGCCAAGCUGGUCUCAAACUCCUGACCUCAAGUGAUCUGCCUGCCUCAGCCUCCCAAAAUGCUGGGAUUACAGGUGUAAGCCACCAUGCCCAGCCAGGUAUGCAUUUCAUAGUGUAUGAAUCAUACCUCAAAAUUUAUAAAAAUAAAAAAGGAUUUUAAAAAAUGAACAGCCCUUUAGGUAUGGGAGGAGGCGAGGAGUAAGAAAGGUGAAUGGACUCUGCAUUACCACUUGCCGAUCGCUAGAUGUUACCAUGUUACAGUGGAAGGAAUGCAAACAAUAAUUUUUCCCAUUUUUUUUUUUGUUAUGUCCACCAUGUAACCGGACACACAGAAUUUUUUUUUUUUUUUUUUUUUUUUUUUGAGACGAAGUCUCACUCUGUCGCCCAGGCUGGAGUGCAGUGGCGCAUCUCGGCUCACUGCAAGCUCCGUCUCCCACGUUCACGCCAUUCUCCUGCCUCAGCCUCCCGAGUAGCUGGGACUACAGGCGUCUGCCACCAUGCAGCUAAUUUUUUGUAUUUUUUUUUUUAGUAGAGAUGGGGUUUCACCGUGUUAGCCAGGAUGGUCACGAUCUCCUGACCUCGUGAUCCGCCUGCCUCGGCCUCCCAAAGUGCUGGGAUUACCGGCAUGAGCCACCAUUUCCGGCAACAGGCAGACUUUUAACACAUUCCUUACCUAAACUUUUAAAAGGGACAAAAGAUAUAUGCCUUUGGUUUGGGAGAUGACGAAACAUAUGCUUUAAUGACUAUUGGGUUGGAAUCUUCUUGAGAGAGGAUCCUUCUUAGCCUAGACUAGAGUCUUCAAAAGCCCACAGUGCUUCGUAAAGUUUCAUACGUGGAAGAGAGAAGGAUGUUCCACUGGAAAAGCAGAAUUGCAGCUGAGCUGUCCUGAAAUGCCCAGCACUCUGUGGAGACGCGGAGGAGGUUUCCUGGGACAAAGUGCUGAACCAGGUGGUGAAGCCAAGGCCUGAAGACCUUUCCUGCAAGGUCGCAGAGGAAGAGGCAGAAGAAGGACCAGAACCCAGCUCCCCUGACUCCCUAUCCAGUGCUCUUCUCAUAGAUUACAUUGCUUCAGCAUCCACCUGGCUAUUGCUCCAUCCAGGGGUUACAGGAGUCACUGACUGUUUUGGUUGCUUCUUGGUUGGAGGAUGUUGUGCCUCACCGAUGAGAGGCACUAUUUACAAUGACCCAGGAGUCUGAUGCCUAAAUGAUACAUUAUCUUCAUGCUCCAGUCUCCCACUGUCUGACUGCCCGGCUCUUCUUUGACGAGAGAUCUCACCGAUUGCGGCCCUUGGCCUUAGGAAGGGUGAUGGGCUGGGCUGGAGGCCUGGGCUGAGCUCUUGGGUGCAGGGGGAGCCUCAGCUUUUCCAGCCCUCAUCCUCAACGGCUGCCUCUGCCAAGGCCCUGGAGCUACAGAAAGCAAGACCAGUGCCUGAGUGCAAUAAAUGCUUUUAUUAGUCCUUUUAUUAAUGACGGUUGGUAUUUGUUGAGAAGCUGGGACAAUAGUUAUUCCAGUAAGAGGAUAUUAAGCUCCCUCAAACAGGCCCUGUAUAUCUAACAGGCUCUGGCCCCCAGCCUCCCCUGACGCAGCUCUGUUACACUGCAGCACACCCCUGGCCUCCCAGCAACUCCAAGAAGGGAGAGGAGGGAUGGGGGAGGUAGGGAUAAUCUGGUGUCAUUAAACACACAGGCCUUUGUGGAGGUUACCGUACACCAACAGCAGGAAGCUUUUUCUUCCUUCUGAGAGCAUAGGGAGCCUAUGUGAUUUUGUUUUUUUUUUGUUUGUUUUGGUUUUUUUGUUUUUUGCUACCCCUGUGCUCCUGGCUAUUUUACCUCCAGAGCUGCUGGUGAUAAGUUGGUAAAGGAGGACCUCCUUAAACCAUUUGUUAAACCAUUUGAGACUGU